UAAUAAAAAUUUGUUUAAUUUUUUUUAGUAAAUUUAAAAUUUAAUAAAAAUAAUUUUAUAUUUAAAUGUUAAGUAUAUUAUAUAAAUUAAAUAAUAUAUACAAUAGUAAAUUAUGUAUAGUAAUAGAAAAUUGAAAUAUUAAAUAUUAAUAUAAAAGUAAUUUUAAUUUAAUGUACCUUUUGUAUCAGGGUUUAUUAAAUAAAUAUUAAUAAUUUAUAAUUAUCUCGAAUUUAAAGGAGUUAAAAUAAUAUUUAAUUUAUUGUGUUAAAAAUAUUUAUAAUAUUAUUUUAGUAAUGAUAAGUUAAUCGUCUUUAAAUAUAUCUAGUUUUUUAAGAAAUGAAUUUAAUUCAUUAUUAAAAUUUUAUAAAUUUAAUUAUAAAAGUUUAUAUAAAUUUAGUAAAAAAUUUUUUUGGGAUAAGCUUAAAAAAUUAAAUUAUAAUUUAAAAAUAAAAUAUAAUAAGUAUAGGAUUAAAAAUUUUCAUUAUUUAUAAAAAUGUUAUAAUUUAUUAGUUUAUAAUAUUUUAUUUUUAUAAAUUUAAUUUUUUUAUUAAAAUAUUUGAUUUAAUUAAUAAAUUAAAUUAAUAAUGAUAAAAUUAAUAUUAUUUUUAUUAUUAAAUAAAAUUUUUAUUAAGAUAAAAAUAAGGAAUUCAGCAAAUAAAAUAUUCACCUGUUUAUCAAAAACAUGUCUUUUUGUUUAAAAUAUAAAGUCUAACCUGCCCACUGAUAUUAAUAUUAAAGGGCCGCGGUAUUUUGACUGUGCAAAGGUAGCAUAAUCAUUUGUCUUUUAAUUGAAGGCUAGAAUGAAUGGUUGAAUGAAAUAUUAACUGUCUCAUUUUUAAAAUAAUAAAAAUUUAGCUUUUUAGUUAAAAGGCUAAAAUUAAUUUGAAAGACGAGAAGACCCUAUAGAUCUUUAUAAUUAAUAAAUAUUUAUAAAAUUAGAUAAAAUAUUUAUUAAAUAUUAAUUAAUUAUUUUAUUGGGGUGAUAGAAAAAUUAAAUAAACUUUUUAUAUUUAAUAACAUUAAUUUAUGAAUUAUUGAUCCAUUAUUAAUGAUUAUAAAAUUAAGUUACCUUAGGGAUAACAGCGUAAUUUUUUUAAAGAGUUCAUAUCGAUAAUGAAGAUUGCGACCUCGAUGUUGAAUUAAAGAUUAUAUCUAAAUGCAGAAGUUUAGAAUUUAGGUCUGUUCGACCUUUAAAUCUUUACAUGAUUUGAGUUCAGACCGGUGUGAGCCAGGUCGGUUUCUAUCUUUAAAUAGAUUAAAAUAUUUUAGUACGAAAGGACCAAAUAUUUAAAUAAAAUUUUUAAAAUUGAAUAUUAAU
rnacentral:rRNA from 1 species